UUUCAUUCUUGCUUGUAUUUUUUAGGUUGUGUCAGGGACGUGCCUCAUCCUGUAGUUGCUGUGACGAAGAUCCAGUAAUCAAGGAGCUUUUAUUGAUGAUUCUUGUAGUUGGAUAUUCAUGACUACAUUGGAUGUAAAAUAGGUUGAUUGUAGUGGAACUCUGGGCAUUUAGGUGGGUUAUAAGGGGUAACCUGUACACCUCUUAUGCAUUAAUUCAUUUGCUUUGUGCUCCUUUUGCACUUGAACUUUCUCAUCAUAUGAUAUAUCUAUUUCUCUGUCAAUAAUGUAUAUGCGUGUGUGAAAUUAUAAUUCUAUCAUUAGGGCUGUAAAUAAUU
rnacentral:misc_RNA from 1 species